rnacentral:lncRNA from 10 species
CCACUGCCAGCCCUGAAGCUUCAGUCACAACCUCUGAAAGCAGCAAAUCAGGAACUACUGGACCCUCAGUAGGUGGAAAAACUAGAGCCACAAGCAGUGAAGCGACAUCAUCUGAAGGCGUGUCAGGUGGAACAGGACAGCCUCUUGGAUCUACCGCUGGAUCUGACAGUGAAAUCACAGCGAGAACAUCUUUCACUGGUUCCAGCUUACCUGGGAAACUCACCAGGCCAAGCCCAGGCUCACCUGGUCACUUUAGUGGUGGAACAACUGAAGGGGGAAAUGUAGCCACCACUGGAGCUGCUGGUGAAAACACUUCUGGAGCAUCGGGUAUGGAAAGAGCAUAAUUAGAAUAAAUCCAGACAGUAGAAGUAUAAUUUUUUUUACUUAAAAUGUUGUCAGAGACAAGGUUGCCUGGGGAAUUUAAUUAUUAUUUGUGUAAUGUCAAAACUGCAGAAGAUCAGAAAUAAAUCAAGAAAUAUUUGUUGUGUGUUCAAUAUCAUCCUGGGGGAUACAGACAACAUAAA